rnacentral:rRNA from 1 species
GACGAACCGUGCGAACGUUGUUCGGAAUCACUGGGCUUAAAGGGCGCGUAGGCGGGCGGCCGCGUCCGGGGUGAAAUCCCACGGCUCAACCGUGGAACGGCCUCGGAUACGGGCGGCCUCGAGGGGGGUAGGGGCAUCUGGAACUGUGAGUGGAGCGAUGAAAUGCGUUGAUAUUCACAGGAACUCCGGUGGCGAAGGCGAGGUGCUGGAUCCCUUCUGACGCUGAGGCGCGAAAGCCAGGGGAGCGAACGGG